UUAAGUUAGAAAGGGCGCACGGUGGAUGCCUUGGCACUAGGAGCCGAAGAAGGACGGGACUAACACCGAUAUGCUUUGGGGAGCUGUACGUAAGCGUUGAUCCAGAGAUUUCCGAAUGGGGGAACCCACUAUCUUUAGUCGGAUAGUAUCCUUACGUGAAUACAUAGCGUAAGGAAGGCAGACCCAGGGAACUGAAACAUCUAAGUACCUGGAGGAAGAGAAAGAAAAAUCGAUUUCCUGAGUAGCGGCGAGCGAAACGGAAAGAGCCCAAACCAAGAAGCUUGCUUCUUGGGGUUGUAGGACACUCUAUACGGAGUUACAAAGGAAUGUGGUAAACGAAGUGGUCUGGAAAGGCCCGCCAAAGAAGGUAACAGCCCUGUAAUUGAAAGCAUAUUCCCUCCAGAGUGGAUCCUGAGUACGGCGGAACACGUGAAAUUCCGUCGGAAUCCGGGAGGACCAUCUCCCAAGGCUAAAUACUCCCUAGUGACCGAUAGUGAACCAGUACCGUGAGGGAAAGGUGAAAAGCACCCCGGAAGGGGAGUGAAACAGUUCCUGAAACCGUGUGCCUACAAGUAGUUAGAGCCCGUUAAUGGGUGAUAGCGUGCCUUUUGUAGAAUGAACCGGCGAGUUACGAUUUGUUGCAAGGUUAAGCGGAAAAAGCGGAGCCGUAGCGAAAGCGAGUCUGAAUAGGGCGCAUGAGUAACAGGUCGUAGACCCGAAACCAGGUGAUCUACCCAUGUCCAGGAUGAAGGUGAGGUAAUACUCACUGGAGGUCCGAACCCACGCACGUUGAAAAGUGCGGGGAUGAGGUGUGGGUAGCGGAGAAAUUCCAAUCGAACCUGGAGAUAGCUGGUUCUCUCCGAAAUAGCUUUAGGGCUAGCCUCGAGGUAAAGAGUCGUGGAGGUAGAGCACUGUUUGGACUAGGGGCCCUUCUCGGGUUACCGAAUUCAGAUAAACUCCGAAUGCCAUGUACUUAUACUCGGGAGUCAGACUGCGAGUGAUAAGAUCCGUAGUCGAAAGGGAAACAGCCCAGACCACCAGUUAAGGUCCCAAAAUAUAUGUUAAGUGGAAAAGGAUGUGGGGUUGCAUAGACAACCAGGAUGUUGGCUUAGAAGCAGCCACCAUUGAAAGAGUGCGUAAUAGCUCACUGGUCGAGUGACCCCGCGCCGAAAAUGUACCGGGGCUAAACAUAUUACCGAAACUGUGGAUGAACCUCUUAGGAGGUUCGUGGUAGGAGAGCGUUCUAAGGGCGGUGAAGUCAGACCGGAAGGACUGGUGGAGCGCUUAGAAGUGAGAAUGCCGGUAUGAGUAGCGAAAGAAGGGUGAGAAUCCCUUCCACCGAAUAUCUAAGGUUUCCUGAGGAAGGCUCGUCCGCUCAGGGUUAGUCGGGACCUAAGCUGAGGCCGAUAGGCGUAGGCGAUGGACAACAGGUAGAUAUUCCUGUACCAGUGCUAGUUGUUUGAGCAAUGGGGUGACACAGAAGGAUAGGGAAUCGCACAGAUGGAAACGUGCGUCCAAGCAGUGAGUGUGAGAAGUAGGCAAAUCCGCUUCUCGCGAAGCAUGAGCUGUGAUGGGGAAGGAAAUUAAGUACGGAAGUUCCUGAUUUCACGCUGUCAAGAAAGCCUCUAGUUAGAUUAGUACUGCCCGUACCGCAAACCGACACAGGUAGAUGAGGAGAGAAUCCUAAGGUGAGCGAGAGAACUCUCGUUAAGGAACUCGGCAAAAUGACCCCGUAACUUCGGGAGAAGGGGUGCUCUAUUAGGGUGAAAGCCCGAGAGAGCCGCAGUGAAUAGGCCCAGGCGACUGUUUAGCAAAAACACAGGUCUCUGCAAAACCGUAAGGUGACGUAUAGGGCUGACGCCUGCCCGGUGCUGGAAGGUUAAGAGGAGUGCUUAGCGCAAGCGAAGGUACGAAUUGAAGCCCCAGUAAACGGCGGCCGUAACUAUAACGGUCCUAAGGUAGCGAAAUUCCUGUCGGGUAAGUUCCGACCCGCACGAAAGGCGCAACGAUCUGGCACUGUCUCAACGAGAACUCGGUGAAAUUAUAGUACCUGUGAAGAUGCAGGUUACCCGCGACAGGACGGAAAGACCCCGUGGAGCUUUACUGCAACCUGAUAUGGAAUGUUUGUACCGCUUGUACAGGAUAGGUAGGAGCCGAAGAGACGUGAGCGCCAGCUUACGAGGAGGCAAUGGUGGGAUACUACCCUGGCUGUAUGACCAUUCUAACCCGCCACGCUUAGCGCGUGGGAGACAGUGUCAGGUGGGCAGUUUGACUGGGGCGGUCGCCUCCUAAAGAGUAACGGAGGCGCCCAAAGGUUCCUCAGAAUGGAUGGAAAUCAUUCGCAGAGUGUAAAGGCACAAGGGAGCUUGACUGCGAGACUGACAAGUCGAGCAGGGACGAAAGUCGGGC
rnacentral:rRNA from 1 species